rnacentral:rRNA from 1 species
GAUUGUAAACCCCUUUCGUCCGGAACGAAUCUCCUCCUGGUAAACAAUCAGGAGGAUCGACGGUACCGGGAGAAGAAGCCACGGCUAACUCUGUGCCAGCAGCCGCGGUAAGACAGAGGUGGCCAGCGUUGUUCGGAUUUAUUGGGCGUAAAGCGCACGCAGGCGGUUUGGUAAGUCAGAGGUGAAAUUCCGCAGCUUAACUGCGGAACUGCCUUUGAUACUGCCUUUCUAGAGUAUAGGAGGGGGAAGCGGAAUUCCGAGUGUAGAGGUGAAAU